GGCGUGAUAGCUCAGUUGGGAGAGCAGCAGACUGAAGAUUUGAGCUUUCUGAAGGUCCCGCGUUCAAUCCGCGGUCAUGCCA
rnacentral:tRNA from 2 species